UCGACGCGGAACGAUGUGCAGCCCUUGAGAAACUCCUUUAUGUUGCUCAGACACUCGCCGUCGUUCUUCGGCUCUGGAUAAAUCUGGAACAAAAACAAAGGGACGUGAACGCUGAUGCUCGACGAACCGACCGUCUUCACGCUGCGGCUUCUGUGUGCAUGGGGCCCGAAGCUCCUGGACGCUGAACACAAACCAAGCUGUGGGGAAGUAAAGGAGGCUGGAAGCGCUCAGUCGAGGAAAUGACGUUGCCAAACAGGGAUCCCCCACCGAUGAUGAUGUUGCAAGACUUUUACGAUAACCCCCUUUUAAACAAGUAGAAAAUGCAUGAAAAUGUUCUGAGCUAUUUGGAAGGACUAUCAUAGUACAACAGAAUAGUGCUUCAAAAUAUGUUUACCUUUUAUACAGCUGUACUCUAAAUGUAGUUUUGACCGAAUAUAUUCCCAUAGUAGCCCAACACCCACCCACCCCUCCAAUGUCAAGAGGAUGUGAAGAUGUGAAACAUAAGGAAGAUGUGGGAAAAGAUGUGAAAAAUUCAGGAUAAAAACUUAUCAACUCCUUGCUGUUUGCAACUCCACCACUAGAGGCGCGUUUCUCUAGCAGUAACCUUUUCAGGAACCAGGGUAGUUUUUCUCCCAACUGCGUUUCGACUGAAGGAACCACGAUCAAAUUAGACAAAAGCGGGAAGAAAUCUAACCUGAAAACGGCCCUGCUAGGGAGGGAGCACUUUACCUGGAUGGACCCUGAUCUAAACAGUGGAGCUUAGUGGUGGGAGGAUAUUAAACAUUUCAAAACUGGUUGAAUAACCCCAGCAUUUAAUUGCAGUCAUACCACAAUUUAUAAUCCUUUGCAUGUAAUGUUUUCUGCUUACUUUAAAUUCCGACAGGCGUUCUGUAAAAAUAUUUACAACCCAACAUUUUAACCCAGCGACCCAUCCAGAACAUUACAGAGUUUUACAUUGUUUGCAUUCAAUUACAUUGAUUAAAUCUGCCAACCUUU